CUGGUUAUCCGACAUGGAGGCGCGACAGGCGAGCAGGAGACCGGCCCCCGCUCCGCGAGCUGCGCCGGAGGAGGCGCCCAGUCCCGGGGCUGAAGGGUCGGCGGAUGGCAAAGCCAAGAGCGCCCACUGCUGCGCAGGGGAGAUCGGGAGGAGGGGCGAGGUCCGCCCGCCGCGCUGCUGCCGCUGCCGCCGCCGCCGCCUCCGCGCCUGACACCGAGCGGACUAGGGAAGGAGGACGAGCGACGAAGGAAGCCUGCCCUUCCAGCCGUCAGCCGCCGUCGCCGUGACCCCUGUGCUGCACCCGGCGCCGCCACCUGAACUCGGCCCCCUCGGUGCCAACCUCAAGUUGGGGAAGGAAAAAGAGGGAGAAGAGAACAGAAAAUCCAACUGCGUAGAUCUAGAUCCAUUCACACCUCCGCUACCGCCGCCAUCUUCCUGCCUGGCCCACUAUUUACCCUCCCCUCCCUAAUCCCCUCCCCUUCUCCCCGCCCUUCCCUCCUCUCAGCCCUCCCCAUUCCGUCCCGUCCCCCGCCCGGCGUCUGACGCCACACGUCCAAGGCUGGGGAUCCCCCUCCCACACCCUACCUCCAGUCCACGCGGGGGACGACGGGUAAAAAAGUAGGCGGAGUGGAGACAGGAGAGGGCGGGAUAGGAACGCUGCUGAGCGGCAUUCUGGGAAGGACGCUGCUUUGUCCGUCGCGCGGCCUCCUGGGACUUGUAGUCGCAGUCUUGGGCAACUGAUAACAAAGAAGAAACCACUUUAAGUCCACACCAUGGAUACCACAAAGGAGAAGAAUGACAAUUACAAAGAUGAUCUUCUGCUUAGGAUGGGACUUAAUGAUAAUAAAGCAGGAAUGGGAGGAUUAGAUAAAGAGAAAAUUAAUAAAAUUAUAAUGGAAGCCACAAAGAUAUCAGUCCUCUGUAGAAGCAUAGCAUUAUGGAUUGUAUUUAGAUGUGCCCCCAAAGGCCUCACCCACUCAUCGAUGGAGCUUUUUGGAGCUGGCUGGGUCAACCAACUAUAGACUAAAACCUGUGCAAACUAUGAGCUAAAAUAAACAUUUCCUCAUUUAACUGGAGGGUGUCAAGUAUUUUGUGAGCAAGGACAAAGUAAGAUAUAUUUUAGUUCCAGGAGUGGGCUCUGGCCAUGUGAUUCAAAAGCCUGAAGCUGAAGAGGCAUCCUAGGUAUGCUAUAGGCUGAACUUGAUGGGAGAUUUUGAACAGAGGUCAGAAGCCCACAAUGCUGACCAGAAUGCCUCUGGAAUUCAAGGCUCAAGAGGUUCCAGUUGGGAACAAGGACUUCAUUGACAGUUGAACUCCAUAUCAUGUGUGUUAUGCUUUGGCAGGAAAUUUGUCUGUGUUUCACUAAUGUCCAGAGACUGCUUGAAACUGAGAUUGCAGGGGAUUGGACUAUUAACAUGACAGAAAAAAUUUCAAGGCAGUCUAAUAUUGAAGUGAUGGCAUGGAUACUUCUAGGGGUUUUUAACCAGAUCUAUGUUGAGAAUCAAGAGCAAAGAACCUAUCAGAAUGAUUUUUAAAGUUUUGAGUUUGGCCGCAAAGAAAGCUCCAAUAAAGUUGCAGCCUACAAAUAUGUGACUGAGGAGAACUUGGGUGCUGAAAAGAUUAGCAAUAAAAAGCCAAGUAUUUUGGAUAGGACAAUAGAAAAGAUGGCAUGGGGACAUCAGAACAACCAUGAAGACGCCACCCUUGCAACCUCAGGGUUGAAAAGUUGAAAGACUUUGCUUUAAGAAGAGAGCCCCAGGGUACUAUAUUCUAGAAUGGUGAUGGCCUAGAGAAUUUGUUCCUUGGGACUAGGUUCAUAGCACUCAGCAUCCAGUCACUUACUUGACACCUACAGCCAAGAUAGAAGGAAGCCUGGCCACUGCUCCAGUUGGCAGCAGACCUUGGCAGCAUCCACAUGGUGCUGGUUUUAGUUUUGUGCAGAAUGCAAGAGUUAUUGGAUCAGGAACACUUCCACCUAGAUUUUAAAAUAAGGCCCGGGUAAGCAGGCAGUGUCCCCCUGUGGGGGCAGUAUAUGAAGUUGUGAGUGUGAAGCCAAAUGUGCAGUGGAGACCCCAGAAAGUUGGAGAAGCCAAGAUGGUGGAUCAUCUGAGGAAAGCUACAAGAAGUGAGCAAAGCCAGCCAAAGAGAGGUCAUGAGGGCUACAACCACAGGCAGUGCCACUGGGGUAGAGCAACCCAAGGCCUUUGGAGUUCACAUCUUGUCCUGGAUGCUGGACAUUGAACUAGGGGACUUAAUAUUUGCACUACUGAAUUUUAGACUUGCCUUGGUUCCGUUCUUUACUGUCCCCCUAUUUGUACUUUUUGGAAUGUGAAUGUUUAUCUUGUGCCAUUGUAUUUUGGAAGUGUAUAACUUUCUUGUCCUUUGUGCAGGUGCUAAUAAAUAAGAGUUUGCCUGAAAGGUCAGAGGAGACUUUGAACUUGGAUUUUUCACCAAUGCUGAAACUGGUAGGACUUUAGAAACUCUCAGAAAUAGACUAAAUGCCUAUUGCAUGAAGAGAUCUGCGUGAGUCUUUUAGGGACUAGGAGAGGAAUGCUAUGCUUUGGAUCUACAUGUCCCCCCAAAGCCUCAUGCACUCAUAUAUGAGGCUUUUCAGAGCUAGCUGAUCUAGGGUGUGUGAUACUGGGAUGAAGGGUGUGUGGUACUAAAUCAGUCCACUGAUUGGGUUAGCAUACUCAUGUAUAUGGAUAAAGGAAAAGCCCACCCUGGGUGUAGGUGGCACCACCCAAAAGAUGUGUAGCCUGGAUGGGAUAAAGGUGAAAGGGAGACUUG
rnacentral:lncRNA from 1 species